GCAAGUGGACCGAGUAGUUAAGGUGAUGGACUACAAAUCCAUUGGGGUCUUCCCGUGUAGGUUCGAAUCCUACCGGCUGCG